UUUUUGGUGUUAUUCUGUUUCUGUUGCAAGACUACAUUUGGGUGUGUGUGAGGAAGAUAUCUUUUAGUUUAAUAUCUUAGUUCAUUUUCUGUUGUUUGUAACAGAAUACCUGACACUGGGUUAUUUAUUUAAUAAGAAAGGUAUUUCUUACAGGUGUGGAGUCUAAGAAGUCCAAGGUUGAGGAGCUGCAUCUGAUGAGAGCCUUCUUGCUGGUUGGGAUCCUCUGCAGAGUCUUGAGUUGGGCAUUAAAAACUGUAUCACAGACACAUGAAUAUUGUGUGAGUAUUUCAAAGUAAAUUUGGAUUAAAAUUCAUCAAAUUCAUGACAUACAUGGAGUUCCCUGAAGCAUUAUUUCAUAUUUCCGGAUUUUCAAAGUGACUACAUAUUCAAGCAUGUAUAUAUACAAGCAUUUCUGGAGACUGGAAAAUCCAAAACCACGGCACCAGCAUCUGGUGAAGAUCUUUUCAUGGCAAGAGAGAAAACACAUGCAUGUCAGCUCAAAUCUCUUUCUCUUUUAAUAAUGUUGCUAGUCCCAUCAUGGAGGCCCCAGCCUUAUGACCUUAUCUAAUGCUAAUUACAUCCAAAAGGCUCCACCUCCAAUCAACAUAUGAAUUUGGAAAUUAGGUUUCCAAUACGUGAAAUUUGGGAAAUGUAUUUAAACCACAAACAGCCAGUUUAAAAGAUUUUGCAUUGAAUAAUAAAAGUGAACCAACAAAUGUAU
rnacentral:lncRNA from 10 species